UGUUGAUGGUUGUAGUGGAGAGAAUCAAUUCACGCAGCCGCCGAGGAAAAAAAACUAGAAAAGGGUUGGGCGAGAAUAACGUCUUCUUCCGGUGGUUGGAAAAAAAUGAAUUUUUCUUCAGAUUGCUUGAGUUGGAAGUUCAGCAAAAGGGGAAAACCCAAGUCUCGGAGUGAAUUCUCGAUUGGUUAAGGUUAUGAGCCUGGAUUUUUGUUGUACUUGUCAUUCUCUUCUUUUCCAAGGCUUCUUGGAGAUUUGUCAGGUAGCUAUUUCCAUCGCAGCAGACUUUCUUCUCCUUAAUUAUGAUCUUGUUCUAUUCUAGAAACAAGUUCAUUUGAGACUUGAGUUUUUCUUUUGAAUCAAUUGUAAUACUUUAGAGGCUUGUACACGUGACUACCAGGUUUUGGGGGGUCUUAUUAAGUUACUUAUAUUUUAUUUCCGCACUUUAUGGUAAUGGUUGAGUUUUAGGCUGACUUGUCUUGGUGGGAUAAGACGAGUGCCAUCACGUCCAUUUUUGGGUCGUGACACAUCUACUAAAAGUAUUUAGCUACUGGUGAAAUAUGUAAAGAUGUUUGAGACUUUCAUUUCCCUCAUUCAGUUUCUUUCAUUUAAUUCUUACAUGAAGUUUAAGUUCAAAUUGUCCAAUUUAAUUAAUUA